GACGAACGCUGGCGGCGUGCUUAACACAUGCAAGUCGAACGGAAAGGCCCUGCUUUUGUGGGGUGCUCGAGUGGCGAACGGGUGAGUAACACGUGAGUAACCUGCCCUUGACUUUGGGAUAACUUCAGGAAACUGGGGCUAAUACCGGAUAGGAGCUCCUGCUGCAUGGUGGGGGUUGGAAAGUUUCGGCGGUUGGGGAUGGACGCGCGGCUUAUCAGCUUGUUGGUGGGGUAGUGGCUUACCAAGGCUUUGACGGGUAGCCGGCCUGAGAGGGUGACCGGCCACAUUGGGACUGAGAUACGGCCCAGACUCCUACGGGAGGCAGAAGUGGGGAAUAUUGCACAAUGGGCGGAAGCCUGAUGCAGCAACGCCGCGUGCGGGAUGACGGCCUUCGGGUUGUAAACCGCUUUCGCCUGUGACGAAGCGUGAGUGACGGUAAUGGGUAAAGAAGCACCGGCUAACUACGUG
rnacentral:rRNA from 1 species